rnacentral:rRNA from 1 species
UACGUAGGGUGCGAGCGUUAAUCGGAAUUACUGGGCGUAAAGCGUGCGCAGGCGGUUUUGUAAGCCAGGUGUGAAAUCCCCCGGGCUCAACCUGGGAAUGGCAUUUGGGACUGCAAGGCUGGAGUGCGGCAGAGGAGGACUGGAAUUCCUGGUGUAGCAGUGAAAUGCGUAGAUAUCAGGAGGAACACCGAUGGCGAAGGCAGGUCUCUGGGCUGACACUGACGUCAUGCCACGAAAGCGUGGGGAGCGAAACAAGGAUUGAUAAACCCCAGAACGUCCAGAC